rnacentral:rRNA from 1 species
CCCUUAGAUGUUCUGGGCGGCCCGCGCACUACAUUGGCACUAGCAAAGAGAUCCUAGAUUGAAUUCUUUGGGGUAUUCUUCUAAAUGGUGUCGUGACUGGGAUAAAUCCUUGUAAUUAUUGGUUUUGAACGAGGAAUUCCUUGUAAUCGCGGUUUAUCAGCUCGCGUUGAAUGCGUCCCUGCCCUUUGUACACACCGCCCGUCGCUCCUACCGAUGGAUCGUCCGGUGAGGCUCACGGAGUGACUGUUCACGCAACGGUUUACGAAGUGAAAUGGACCUCACGAUUUAGAGGAAGGAGAAGUCGUAACA